GCAUGAAGCUGGAAUCGCUAGUAAUCGCGGAUCAGAAUGCCGCGGUGAAUACGUUCCCGGGUCUUGUACACACCGCCCGUCACACCAUGGGAGUCGGGAAUGCCCGAAGUCAGUGACCCCAACCGAAAGGGGGGAGCUGCCGAAGGCAGGCCUGGUAACUGGGGUGAAGUCGUAACAAGGUAGC
rnacentral:rRNA from 1 species